AGUUUAAUAUAAAACACGAAUGGGAAACGGAUCACUUUUCAUAACAUCUUUAUUGGAUGUGUCUCACUUUUAAACAUAUUUACAGAUACUUUAAUCUUACUUUGUAGCUCAGUAAAAAUACAAAUACAGAACACUCAGUUGUGUCAAAAUCAACGUCGCUGCAGCGACCUGAUGGUUUCCUCCUCAGCAUGGACUCGGUGGUGAUGAUGUGGCGUUCAGAGGGAGGCGAGAGCAAAGUCUGCACUGCAUCAAUGAAGUGACUGAUGGGUAAAAUGAAAUGAAUUCAACUCUAUCGACGUGUUAAACGAUGAGCACACAUGAAAAAGAGAAGGAAGAGACGAGUGGGGGAGAGAAGAAACCACCUCCUAAUAUGGUGGUUUCAACGCUUCAAUUAAAACUUCAGAGGAAAUCCUCAGCUUUUACGAUGCAGCUGCUAACUUGUGUACAUAAUGUAACCACGUCUGGCUGCGCUGCCACCUAUUUUGGUGAAAAAGAAAAAAAAAAUAUUCUCAGCAAGAUCUGUUCCUAGUUAUCCGCAAAGGAAACAGCGAUUUAGAGUUUAAAUCUGGGCCAGGUUUACCUGAACCGAUCAGAAGGAAAGACGACUCAAAGGGAGAGAGAGAGCAGAGCGGGUCCGGCUUGAUGAAAAUACUCACAGUGCCUUAAAAAAACGUAAUCACACCCUCUGAACGUUUUCCACACGUUGUCACUAACUUCAAAAAGCAUUUUUUGAAGUUAGUGACUUCAAAAAGUCACUAACUUUUUGAAGUCACUAACUUCAAAAAGUUAGUGACUGGUAAGUGUAAAGGGAAAGAUAUGUUAUGCUUGGUUCUAGACAUGUUUUACAAAAAAAAAAGGAGUGUGCCAUGUAUAUGUAUGUAUUCAGCACAGCUAAAUAACAGUGGCUUUAAAGGUCUCCGUAUCAGUAAACAGUCCAUCUGAUAUUUAUGUCGAGUAUUAGGGCUAUCCUGAUCCGAUACGGACAUCGGGAAUUGGUCCGAUUAGAUAUCAGGCCAAGAAAUAUAUCGGAUUCCAUCGUUAUGCAGCUAAAACCUCAGAUAGAAGCACUCCGCUCCAGGAUUUAGUCCGACCCGACAUUUUAAGUCAGUAAUUAUCCAAUACUGAUAUUUUUAAAAAGUACUGGCAGUUUUUUCCCCCCUUAAAAUAUUUUA